GAUUUACAGUGUGCAUGUAAUUUACCUAAUUACUUCAAUAUUAACGAGUUGUAAAAGAAAUAAAAUCGUUUCCAUAUUUGUGUUUCCUAUUCGUGUAGUUUCACAUAAUUUGGAAACUUACAAGGUGGUUAAAUCGUUGAUUUAGAUUACAUAUGGAACGUUAAAAGUUUACUUUGUUUUGAAUUUUAAGGUUAUGUUUUAGUAUUGGUGCACCACGCCUGUUGCGGCAAAUGAUUACUAACGUCAUAAUUCAUUGAAGCGGUGCAGCAACUCAUUAUUGAUCGCGCGUAUUAAAAACUGUGAUCCAACAUAACGUUAUGUGCAGCAUUUGUUGUUGUUUAUGAAUAACAAUCUACCUAUUAUAUUUCAGUUGUUUUUUUAUUUUUCAUCGUUUGUUUGUUCGGCCGCUCGUUCGUAUUUUAAGUGAAAAGUGACCAUCAAGAUGCAAGCUAUUUCUCUAAUAGAUAAUGUAUGUAGGAUGGCCAUUAUUUUGUUGAAAUCUAUAUACGUUGGCGUGCGACGUACCUACAAUUCCGUACUUCAACUGGUACCAACAAUUCUAACAUCGUGGAGGUUUAUGGUGGAUGUGGGCCAUGACUCCAGAAGAAAUGAGUACCACUUUGGAGUUCACAGUCGCAUACGCCUUUAGAGUCUUCGUAUUUUUUUUAAAUUCAAAAUGUCAUUGUGAAAUGUUAUGAAUAAAUAAUACUACGUGAAAUAUU